rnacentral:lncRNA from 1 species
UCCCAAAAUUUAUAUUAGGGUUAGUCAUUUAUUCUCUUAAACAAAACGAAAAAAAGGGCAAUAAAUUUUCAUUCAUCUCAAUCCCAUGCACCAAAAUAAGUUAGUGUGUUAUAUCACUAACAUUUCUUCGUGCACGUACAUCUUAGCCUAAAGCCAACACAUUUGCCUCCCUUGAAGCCUUCUUUUUCGCAAAUAUUUGCACAGUUGCUUGAUCGGAAGCAAGGUCCCUUGAAUUUCGUGCUCAAAGACUCACAAGUCCUCGACGUCUCCUUUGUUUCGACCUUGCCCUCAGCAACCAUUGGACCUGUCCCUGCCAAACAUUCAUUGAUAAAAAUGAAUGAGAGAAUUUGGAUUCAAACUUGAAACGUCUUUCAGCAUUGGAAAGAAAUAUAUCACUAAUCAAAUAUAAAGAUGAAAUUAAAAUGAGGAAAGAGAGAGAUACCAAUAGUCACAAGAAGCAAGACGAGGAUGAAGACAGUUGAAAACAUACGUUUGGAUCCCUCCAUCUUGAUUUUUGUGUGUGUACGUACACGCGUGUGAAACAAAAACACAGACAGAGGGAUGUUGAAUGUUGAUUCAAGAUGCCUUGAUUCAAAGGUGAACCUUCCAAUGCCUUUUAUAUAGAGUUGUUAUGAAGCAAAUUAAGAGUAUUUCCGUAAAGGGCGGUACACCGGUGAAAAAUAGAGAGUGGAGGGAACCUUUGCUAUUUUUACCUAACACUUCAUUAGCCCAUUUUAUGCGGACAUGGAUGAUAAACCUGAAUUAACAUGUCAUAUGGACAACAAAUAAGAACUUAUAGAAAAUCUUUAACCUUCUAUUUAACCUUUUAUUUGUUGGACAGAUUCUAUUUAACCUUCUAGUAUAGGUGAUGUGUCAAUUCUUCUUUUUUUUUCAUAUAGAUAUGUCAAUUUUUUAAUCAUUUGUAAUUUGACGCACAAAAGGGUCAAUAGUGUAAUAAUUUAUAAUUUUAAGGGUAAUUUUCCUACUUUUUAAAAUACUGAAACCAACAACUCUUUGUGAGUUGGGUGUUUAUUUGUGUUUUAGUCUCUACUUGUGAGAGUUAGUUGUCGUUGUAUUUUUAAUUUUGGGCGUUGUAUUGCAUGUCUGAUUUGCUCAGGCAUGUGACUGUUACAUUGAAAUAUAUUUGGUCUUUUAGGGCUAUUAGUGGAGAUACAAGUUGUGAAUGUCGCCAGUGUAUCCUCUUAUAUAUGAUUAACCCUCUGCAGUUACUGUGCAUACAUCUUUAUACUAACCCUUUAUGAGUAUUUGAUCUUUGUGUCCAAUUAUUGAAUACAAUUAUCACUAAUUUUCAAAAAGAAAACUUAACAGCACAUAUUCAAGCAUUAUUUAAAUAGACUUGCCCCUUGAUAUAUAUAUAUAUAUAUAUAUAUAUAUAUAUUUUAAAAGCCCCAUUAUUUUGACGUGCCUCCUUUAAUUACUUUCCCCCCACCCUUUUCUUUAUUUGUUGGUAACAAAAGGAAGUUGCUGAAAUCAUAGCCUCCAACCUAAAUUUUAUGACAAAACAAUCAUGUUCCUGUAUAAGAUUUCCUUCUAUUUCUUCAAUUUUCUUUUGGUUUAAAAAGCUUCUGAAUCUUUGUGAGUCGAGUCCAAUACAAACAUGAAUGCGAACUAUAAGUCGCCAGCAAGAAUAUAUUAUGUCAUUUUAUUCGGAUAUGGUAAUUGAUUAGCAUGCAAGAACUAUUGUAAAAAUUAAACCAUUUUCUAUUGUCUUGACAAAAGAUAAUUACCAAUCGAUAUGGAUACUCAAUGUGGAAUCUAAUCCACUAGGUGCAGUGACCACCUAACUAGAAAUAUCACAUGCCUAAUCUUUAUAUAUAUUUUUCAUAAUUAUUCUCUUGGCUUUUCAUUUUGCUAGUAAAAUUCAAAGUUUUUUUAACUGCAAUGAUCCCUAAAUUUAUAUCUAGUUUUAUUUUGGUCCUUUAGAUCUCGUACGUGUUCCAAUUUAGUUAUUUUUUCAAAUUCGGUAAAACUGAGGGAUAAAACUAAUAAUUUGGAUACAAUAAUCUUUAAAAAACAAACAAUUUUUUUUAAUUAUUAUACUAAAUUAACUAAAUUAGAACUCGUGCAGAAAUUGAUGGACCAAAAUGAAACUUGUCUAAGUUCAAGGAUCGUUGUCGUUAAAUCACCAAAAAAAAAAAAAAAAAAAGGGCUUUCCACAAGUAGACCCAUUCUAACAUGGAUAUACACGAAAUUUCUUAGAGCCUAUUUGGAGAGAAAAACCCAAAAAUAGUCACUUAUCAUUUUCUAAUGACUAAUUGCUUCUUAUAAAAUUUUAACACACUAAGAACCAAUAAGAAAAUGACAAGUUCACUUUGACAGGGGAGGAAUCCACUAUUCUUCCUCCUCUUUCCCCUCUUCUCUUCCUCCUUCUCUUCUCUCCCCACAUUUUCAGAGACAAAAGAUUUUCCCUGUUUGUCUUCAUUUUGUUAUGAUUUUCCUCCAACCAUCACAGGCGACUGCGUCUCGGCGUCGGAUCUCCACAUGCGUUUCGGCAUCGGAUCUCCACCACCAUCCUUUUUGCGGUUUCUUUAUGUUCAGAAUAAGUCAUAGAGACUCUUUGGGUUGUCUGUGUAGUUUUCAGCUCUCCUUUUGUGAGAGCUUUUCACCUCUCAUCUAUGAGAGAUUUUCAUCUCUCUUUUGUGAGAGCUUUUCAUCUCUCCUUUAUGAGAGUUUUAUUUGUAUUGUUAUGGCUUGAUUUUUUCAAGCUUUAUCUCUGUUUGAUUAUUCUGAGUUUGCAAUCUUAGUUGGGAUGCCUAUGCUAGAGUUUCUUCGAUCCUGAGUGAUUGUUAGUGGAGGUGCACCAGAUUGUUUUAAUUUUGAUGUUAGACCGCUCCGUUAUUGUAAUGGCCCUUUAUAACUAGUGGUUUUUUUUUUUUGGCUAAAUUAUAAAUGCAAUCCUAAAAUUUCUCCAAAAAAAAACAAAAAAUUUUGUGCGCCAUAUUAAGUCACUUAGUGAUGUGGAUAUGAAAGUUUCCAUUGUUGUACAUAUAACUAAUUUGGAUCAAUUACGUUUCGCAUCUCUGUAGCUUGAGGUGAGUGAGAGUUGGUUCAUGGCCUCUAAAAACUAACAAAAGCAGCCCCUAAAGUUACAAAUAGUAUAAUCAACAUUACGCAUUGGUAAAAAGUUUAAAGUAAUGCUAGAAAGAUCACAUUUGUAUAGAGAAAAAAAAGUAUCAUUACAUUAAGAAAUGAACGAUAUUUUGCUAUUUAUUUUAUUGAUUACAAAAUAACUCACGCAUGUUAACACAUAAGACCAAAAACACGGACACAACCCCAAAAUUUAUAUUAGGGUUAGUCAUUUAUUCUCUUAUAAAAAAGAAAAAAAGGGCCAUAAAUUUUCAUUCACCUCAAUCCCAUGCACCAAAAUAACUUAGUGUGUUAUAUCACUAACAUUUCUUAGUGCACGUACAUCUCAGCCUGAAGCCAACACAUUUGCCUCCCUUGAAGCCUUCUUUUUCGCAAAUAUUUGCACAGUUGCUUGAUCGGAAGCAAGGUCCCUUGAAUUUCGUGCUCAAAGACUCACAAGUCCUCGACGUCUCCUUUGUUUCGACCUUGCCCUCAGCAACCAUUGGACCCGUCCCUGCCAAAGAUUCAUCGAUAAAAAUGAAUGAGAGAAGGUGGAUUCAAACUUGAAACGUCUUUGAGCAUUGGAAAGAAAUAUAUCACUAAUCAAAUAUAAAGAUGAAAUUAAAAUGAGGAAAGAGAGAGAUACCAAUAGCCACAAGGAGCAGGACGAGGAUGAAGACAGUUGAAAACAUACGUUUGGAUCCCUCCAUCUUGAUUUUUGUGUGUGUACGUGCACGCGUGUGAAACAAAAACACAGACAGAGGGAUGUUGAAUGUUGAUUCAAGAUGCCUUGAUUCAAAGGUUAACCUUCCAACACCUUUUAUAUAGAGUUGUUAUGAAGCAAAUUAAGAGUAUUUCCGUAAAGGGCGGUACACCGGUGAAAAAUAGAGAGUGGAAGGAAAUUUAACCUUUGUUAUUUUUACCUAACACUUAAUUAGCCCAUUUUAUGCGGACAUGGAUGAUAAACCUGAAUUAACAUGUCAUAUGGACAACAAAUAAGAACUUAUAGAAAAAAUUUAACCUUUUAUUUGUUGGACAGAUUCUAUUUAACCUUCUAGUAUAGGUGAUGUGUCAAUUCUUCUUUUUUCAUAUGGAUAUGUCAACUUUUUAAUCAUUUGUAAUUUGACGCACAAAAGGGUCAAUAGUGUAAUAAUUUAUAAUUUUAAGGGUAAUUUUCCUACUUUUUAAAAUACUGAAACCAACAACUCUUUGUGAGUUGGGUGUUUAUUUGUGUUUUAGUCUCUACUUGUGAGAGUUAGUUAUCGUUCUAUUUGUAAUUUUGGGCGUUGUAUUACAUGUCUGAUUUGCUCAGGCAUGUGACUGUUACAUUGAAAUUUAUUUGGUCUUUUAGGGCUAUUAGUGGAGAUACAAGUUGUGCGAUGUCGCCAGUAUAUCCUCUUAUAUAUUGAUUAACCCCCUGUAGUUACUGUGCAUACAUCUUUAUACUAACCCUUUAUGAGUAUUUGAUCUUUGUGUCCAAUUAUUGAAUACAAUUAUCACUAAUUUUCAAAAAGAAAACUUAACAGUACAUAUUCAAGCAUUAUUUAAAUGGACUUGCCUCUUGAAUUUUUUUUAUUUUUAUUUUUAAAAGCCCCAUUAUUUUGAAAUGCCUCCUUUAAUUACUUUCCCCCACCCUUUUCUAUAUUUGUUGGUAACAAAAGGAAGUUGCUGAAAUCAUAGCCUCCAACCUAAACUUUAUGCCAAAACAAUCAUGUUCGUAUAUAAGAUUUCCUUCUAUUUCUUCAAUUUCCUUUUGGUUUAAAAAGCUUCUGAAUCUUUGUGAGUCGAGUCCAAUACAAACAUGAAUGCAAACUAUAAGUCGCCAGCAAGAAUAUAUUAUGUCAAUUUAUUCGGAUAUGGUAAUUGAUUAGCAUGCAAGAACUAUUGUAAAAAUUAAAUCAUUUUCUAUUGUCUUGACAAAAGAUAAUUACCAAUCGAUAUGGAUACUCAAUGUGGAAUCUAAUCCACUAGGUGCAGUGACCACCUAACUAGAAAUAUCACAUGCCUAAUCUUUAUAUAUAUAUUUCAUCAUUAUUCUCUUGGCUUUUCAUUUUGCUAGUAAAAUUCAAAGGUUUUUUCAACUGCAAUGAUCCCUAAAUUUAUAUCUAGUUUUAUUUUGGUCCAUCAGAUCUCGUACGUGUUCCAAUUUAGUUAUUUUUUCAAAUUCGGUAAAAUUAAGUGGUAAAACUAAUAAUUUGGAUACAAUAAUCUUUAAAAAACCAACAAUUUUUUUAUUAUUAUACUGAAUUAACUAAAUUAGAACUCGUGCAAGAAUUGAUGGACCAAAAUGAAACUCGUAUAAGUUCAAGGAUCGUUGUAGUUAAAUUGCAAAAUAAAUAAAUAAAUAAAUAAAGGGCUUUCCACAAGUAGACCCAUUCUAACAUGGAUAUACACGAAAUUUCUUAGAGCCAAUUUGGAGAGAAAAACCCAAAAAUAGUCACUUAUCAUUUUCUAAUAACUAAUUGCUUCUUAUAAAAUUUUAACACACUAAGAACCAACAAGAAAAUGACAAGUUCACUUUGACGGGGGAGGAAGCCACUAUUCUUCCUCCUCUCUCCCCUCUUCUCUUCCUCCCUCUCUUCUCUCCCCUCAUUUUCAGAGACAGAAGGUUUUCCCUCUUUGUCUUCAUUUUGUUAUAAUUUUCCUCCAACCAUCACAGGCGGCUGCGUCUCGGCAUCGGAUCUCCACAUGCGUUUCGGCAUCGGAUCUCCACCACCAUCCUUUUGGCGGUUUCUUUAUGUUCGGAAUAAGUCACAGAGACUCUUUGGGUUGUCUGUGUAGUUUUCAGCUCUCCUUUUCUGAGAGCUUUUCAUCUCUCAUUUGUGAGAGAUUUUCAUCUCUCUUUUGUGAGAGCUUUUCAUCUCUCCUUUGUGAGAGUUUUAUUUGUAUUGUUAUGACUUGAUUUUUUUCAAGCUUUAUCUCUAUUUGAUUAUUCUGAGUUUACAAUCUUAGUUGGGAUGCCUAUGCCAGAGUUUCUUCGAUACUGAGUGAUUGUUAGUGGAGGUGGAUCAGAUUGUUUUAAUUUUGAUGUUAGACCGCUCCGUUAUUGUAAUAGUCAUUUAUAGCUAGUGACUUUUUUUGGCUAAAUUAUAAAUGCAAUCCUAAAAUUUCUCCACCAAAAAAAAAAAAAAAAGUUUUUUGCGCCAUAUUAAGUCACUUAGUGAUGUGGAUAUGAAAGUUUCCAUUGUUGUACAUAUAACUAAUUUGGAUCAAUUACGUUUCGCAUCUCUGUGGCUUGAGGUGAGCGAGACUUGGUUCAUGGCCUCUAAAAACUAACAAAAGCAGCCCCUAAAGUUACAAAUAGUAUAAUCAACAUUAAGCAUUGGUAAAAAGUUUAAAGUAAUGCUAGAAAGAUCACAUUUGUAUAGAGAAAAAAAAAAGUAUCAUUACAUUAAGAAAUGAACGAUAUUAUUUUCUUAUUUUAUUGAUUACAAAAUAACUCACGCACUGUUAGCGCAUAAGAACAAAAACACGGACACAACCCCAAAAUUUAUAUUAGGGUUAGUCAUUUAUUCUCUUAAACAAAACGAAAAAAAGGGCAAUAAAUUUUCAUUCAUCUCAAUCCCAUGCACCAAAAUAAGUUAGUGUGUUAUAUCACUAACAUUUCUUCGUGCACGUACAUCUCAGCCUGAAGCCAACACAUUUGCCUCCCUUGAAGCCUUCUUUUUCGCAAAUAUUUGCACAGUUGCUUGAUCGGAAGCAAGGUCCCUUGAAUUUCGUGCUCAAAGACUCACAAGUCCUCGACGUCUCCUUUGUUUCGACCUUGCCCUCAGCAACCAUUGGACCUGUCCCUGCC